rnacentral:rRNA from 1 species
UUUUAUGGAGAGUUUGAUCCUGGCUCAGGAUGAACGCUGGCGGCGUGCCUAAUACAUGCAAGUCGAGCGAACGGACGAGAAGCUUGCUUCUCUGAUGUUAGCGGCGGACGGGUGAGUAACACGUGGAUAACCUACCUAUAAGACUGGGAUAACUUCGGGAAACCGGAGCUAAUACCGGAUAAUAUUUUGAACCGCAUGGUUCAAAAGUGAAAGACGGUCUUGCUGUCACUUAUAGAUGGAUCCGCGCUGCAUUAGCUAGUUGGUAAGGUAACGGCUUACCAAGGCAACGAUGCAUAGCCGACCUGAGAGGGUGAUCGGCCACACUGGAACUGAGACACGGUCCAGACUCCUACGGGAGGCAGCAGUAGGGAAUCUUCCGCAAUGGGCGAAAGCCUGACGGAGCAACGCCGCGUGAGUGAUGAAGGUCUUCGGAUCGUAAAACUCUGUUAUUAGGGAAGAACAUAUGUGUAAGUAACUGUGCACAUCUUGACGGUACCUAAUCAGAAAGCCACGGCUAACUACGUGCCAGCAGCCGCGGUAAUACGUAGGUGGCAAGCGUUAUCCGGAAUUAUUGGGCGUAAAGCGCGCGUAGGCGGUUUUUUAAGUCUGAUGUGAAAGCCCACGGCUCAACCGUGGAGGGUCAUUGGAAACUGGAAAACUUGAGUGCAGAAGAGGAAAGUGGAAUUCCAUGUGUAGCGGUGAAAUGCGCAGAGAUAKGGAGGAACACCAGUGGCGAAGGCGACUUUCUGGUCUGUAACUGACGCUGAUGUGCGAAAGCGUGGGGAUCAAACAGGAUUAGAUACCCUGGUAGUCCACGCCGUAAACGAUGAGUGCUAAGUGUUAGGGGGUUUCCGCCCCUUAGUGCUGCAGCUAACGCAUUAAGCACUCCGCCUGGGGAGUACGACCGCAAGGUUGAAACUCAAAGGAAUUGACGGGGACCCGCACAAGCGGUGGAGCAUGUGGUUUAAUUCGAAGCAACGCGAAGAACCUUACCAAAUCUUGACAUCCUUUGACAACUCUAGAGAUAGAGCCUUCCCCUUCGGGGGACAAAGUGACAGGUGGUGCAUGGUUGUCGUCAGCUCGUGUCGUGAGAUGUUGGGUUAAGUCCCGCAACGAGCGCAACCCUUAAGCUUAGUUGCCAUCAUUAAGUUGGGCACUCUAAGUUGACUGCCGGUGACAAACCGGAGGAAGGUGGGGAUGACGUCAAAUCAUCAUGCCCCUUAUGAUUUGGGCUACACACGUGCUACAAUGGACAAUACAAAGGGCAGCGAAACCGCGAGGUCAAGCAAAUCCCAUAAAGUUGUUCUCAGUUCGGAUUGUAGUCUGCAACUCGACUACAUGAAGCUGGAAUCGCUAGUAAUCGUAGAUCAGCAUGCUACGGUGAAUACGUUCCCGGGUCUUGUACACACCGCCCGUCACACCACGAGAGUUUGUAACACCCGAAGCCGGUGGAGUAACCUUUUAGGAGCUAGCCGUCGAAGGUGGGACAAAUGAUUGGGGUGAAGUCGUAACAAGGUAGCCGUAUCGGAAGGUGCGGCUGGAUCACCUCCUUUCUAA